UUGUGAUUUCGGAUUUUUCGUAAUGGAUGAAUUCCCUUCGGGGACAGAAAGACAGGUGGUGCAUGGUUGUCGUCAGCUCGUGUCGUGAGAUGUUGGGUUAAGUCCCGCAACGAGCGCAACCCUUAUUAUUAGUUGCUAACAUUCAGUUGAGCACUCUAGUGAGACUGCCCGGGUUAACCGGGAGGAAGGUGGGGAUGACACCUAAUCAUCUUGCCCCUUAUGUCUGGGGCUAUACACGUGCUAUAAUGGGGGGAACAAAAAGAUGCAAUACCGCGAGGUGGAGCUAAACUCCAAAACCCAUCCCAGUUCGGAUUGUAGGCUGCAACUCGCCUACAUGAAGCUGGAGUUGUUAGUAAUCACCAAUCAUAAUGUCGCGGUGAAUACUUUCCCGGCCCUUGUACA
rnacentral:rRNA from 1 species